UGAACGCUGGCGGCGUGCCUAAUACAUGCAAGUCGAGCGAACAGACGAGGAGCUUGCUCCUCUGACGUUAGCGGCGGACGGGUGAGUAACACGUGGAUAACCUACCUAUAAGACUGGGAUAACUUCGGGAAACCGGAGCUAAUACCGGAUAAUAUAUUGAACCGCAUGGUUCAAUAGUGAAAGACGGUUUUGCUGUCACUUAUAGAUGGAUCCGCGCCGCAUUAGCUAGUUGGUAAGGUAACGGCUUACCAAGGCAACGAUGCGUAGCCGACCUGAGAGGGUGAUCGGCCACCCUGGAACUGAGACACGGUCCAGACUCCUACGGGAGGCAGCAGUAGGGAAUCUUCCGCAAUGGGCGAAAGCCUGACGGAGCAACGCCGCGUGAGUGAUGAAGGUCUUCGGAUCGUAAAACUCUGUUAUUAGGGAAGAACAAAUGUGUAAGUAACUAUGCACGUCUUGACGGUACCUAAUCAGAAAGCCACGGCUAACUACGU
rnacentral:rRNA from 1 species